rnacentral:rRNA from 1 species
UACGGAGGGUGCGAGCGUUGUCCGGAAUCACUGGGCGUAAAGGGCGCGUAGGCGGCUGGGGAAGUCGGCGGUGAAAGCCCGGAGCUCAACUCCGGGUCGGCCGUCGAGACUCCUCGGCUCGAGCUCACUAGAGGCAGAUGGAAUUCCGGGUGUAGCGGUGGAAUGCGUAGAGAUCCGGAGGAACACCUGUGGCGAAAGCGGCUCACUGGACCACAACUGACGCUGAUGCGCGAAAGCUAGGGGAGCAAACAGG